rnacentral:rRNA from 1 species
GACGAACGCUGGCGGCGUGCUUAACACAUGCAAGUCGAACGGAAAGGCCCUGCUUUUGUGGGGUGCUCGAGUGGCGAACGGGUGAGUAACACGUGAGUAACCUGCCCUUGACUUUGGGAUAACUUCAGGAAACUGGGGCUAAUACCGGAUAGGAGCUCCUGCUGCAUGGUGGGGGUUGGAAAGUUUCGGCGGUUGGGGAUGGACUCGCGGCUUAUCAGCUUGUUGGUGGGGUAGUGGCUUACCAAGGCUUUGACGGGUAGCCGGCCUGAGAGGGUUGCCGGCCACAUUGGGACUGAGAUACGGCCCAGACUCCUACGGGAGGCAGCAGUGGGGAAUAUUGCACAAUGGGCGGAAGCCUGAUGCAGCAACGCCGCGUGCGGGAUGACGGCCUUCGGGUUGUAAACCGCUUUCGCCUGUGACGAAGCGUGAGUGACGGUAAUGGGUAAAGAAGCACCGGCUAACUACGUG